GGGUAAUGAGCACACCUGCAGUGAACGUCCAUGAGAACAACCCACCAGCUGGAGUUGGCACAUCAGUUGUUAGGUUAAACGCUAGAGCGAUCAUUGCUACCAACACGACCAUCCCCAUUAGGCCUGCAACCCUAGUGUGAAAGGACUGUGCAAUUUGAAAUACACCUGUAAAUGAGAUCACACCAAGCAUGGGAGCCUGUGGGCGUAUUCAUCUUUCUGAGAUUCUUGCUUGAAAAGAGAAGUUUCC
rnacentral:lncRNA from 1 species